rnacentral:piRNA from 1 species
UUAGAAAGAAAUGAUGGCACA